ensembl:lncRNA
GGGGAGGCCAAAACGCUGGGGGCAAUUAGAGCAGAAAAGGUUUAUUUACACUGGGGGGGGGGGGGUUACUGGAAGUCAUCGAGGUCGAUGUGGAGUGGGGGGAAGUCGGCCUCAGUGAAGAAGGAGCUCGCGGCGGGCAGGGCCCCGUCGUCGGCCUGGGGCAGGAACGGGUCGUGGUGGUCCAGAAGCGCGGCGCUGCCUGCGGGACGCGGCGGGUCAGGGCUGAGCAGGGCCCGGCCGCGGCCCCCCCCGGCCCCCCCCAGGGCUGCUGACACUCACGGGCCGGCCUGGGGCUGAGCCUCUCCUGCCCGCCGACCCCGGCCUCCAGCAUGCCAGGCAUCAGCUCCGCUGCCUCCAGUGUCUCCAGCGUCCCCGAGCCGGAAUCCAGUCCCUCCACCAGCGACUGCAGGAACUCCUGCAUGUCCAGGUUCUCCGGCACCGUUUCCAGAGUCUCCAGCGUCCCCAAUCCCCCAGGGCCCACCUGCAGCGUCCCCUGGCCCUCGGGGACCAGCUGCAGCACCAGCUGUGGCUCCACGGCCCUGGGCCCUGGCUGCAGCAGCUCCGGGACCCCCAAUCCCACCUGCAGCGCCAGCGGCUCCGGGUCUCCGGCCCCCAGACCGCCGGGCAUCGUCUGCAGCAGCCCCGGACCCCUGGGCAUCGUCUGCAGCGGCCCUGGGUCCCUGGGCUGCAGCUGCAGUGUCUCCAGGUCCUGCGUGGCAGCCACCAGCUCCUCUUCUGCCUGCCACAACUCAUUCGCCUGCCUGCGGGGAGAGACGGGGGCCGGGUUAGGGUCCAGGGCCCGGAGACACGAGGCGGCGCGGUGAGCGGGGUUCCCGCGGAGGGAUGGACGGAGGCGCCCGGCUGCCUCACCUGGAGGACACGCGGAUGAGGCGCUGGUUCAGGUAUUCCUUCUUCUCCCUCAGGCUCCCUGGGGGCAGAUGGGAGAAUCAGGAGGGGGCCCAGGCAGCCGCCGGCCCCGCGGCGUGGCCGUGCCGUGCGCUGCCGUACCUGCCUGCCGCUGGCUGUAGUAGCGCCCGAAGGCCUCAUCGCGGUCCCUGUCCGGGUACAGGAACUGGAGCGGGUUCUCGGGGAUGUUCUCCUCCGCCAGCAGCUGGUAGUCGUGGAUGAUGUCGGGCAGCGCCAGGGAAGCCAGCUCAGAUGCGGUGUAGGGAACCACGGCCCGGAAAGCGGGGGGUCCUGCGGGGACGCCAUGGGGCCAGGCUGAGCAGCCAGGGCAGGCCCGAGGCCGUGAUGAGGGGCUGGCACCCCGGGGCAGGGUGGGUGCUCACCGCUCUCGGGAUGCUCCACCCAGGUGCAGGUGACCCCCCCGAGGAUGCUCUCGCUGAAGCGGAUCAGAAACGUCCCCGUCCGCUUCCCCUUCAGCAGCUUCUUCUCUUGCUUCCGGCUCACGAAGCCCAGGAUGAGCCUGGAGGGGGAGGCACCGUCACCCCCCGGCCCCAGGCCCCUCCGGACACCCCCAGCCCCAGUCCUACCCGUCCUUCCAGAGCUGCUUGAGGUGAUCCUGGAGCAGCCCCAGGAUCCCGUCCAGCCAGGCCCAGAAGGAGAAGCCGGAGGCGUUGUCCUGCGGGAGAGGGCGAGUGGGCGGGAGCCGCGGGGCCGGGGCCACGCGGGGCGGGCGCCAGCGCCRCCGGGCACCGCUCACCUUGGAGAACUUGGGCCAGGCCAGGGUGCUCUCCGGGGAYGGUUUUGAGCCUUGGGGACGAGAGCGGGGUGAGCCGGGCAGCUCGGCCCCCCCGGGCCCUCGGCAGGGCGAGCUCGGAGGCCCCGGGGAUGGGCUCCGCGCCCCGGCCUUACCGAAGAGCU